UUUUUUUUUUUUGGCUUUUUAGGGCUGCACCUGGAAGUUCCCAGGCUAGGGGGGUAAAACCUGAGCUAUCGCUCCUGGCCUACACCACAGCCACAACAACUCGGGAUCCAACCUGCAUCCGCAUCUGCAACCUACACCACAGCUCAGGGCAAUGCCAGAUCCUUAACCCACUGAGCGAGGCCAGGGAUUGAACCUGUGUCCUUAUGGAUACUAGUCGGAUUCACAUCUGCUGAGCCAUGACGGGACCUCCCUCUUCACCUGUUCUUGUUUUGCAGCUUUGUGUUUCAUUUUGUAUAGUUACCAACUAACAGGCCGUUGAGUGAAAAAUUGAUUAGACAUGAAGGACAGGGAAAGGCUUAAAGUCUCCAGGCCGACUUGAUGCUUUCCUCACGCCCCAAAGAGGAGGAGUGGGUGGAUAGCUGUGGACAUUGUGGUUAAAUUGGGCUGAGGACACAUUAUCGGAUGAUCCCUUUUCCUCUCCCCAUCUGAUAUUAUGAAAACACAAUAAACCCAAUUCUACUUUUACCCUUUAACUUUGUUUAAAAAAUUCUUCUCCUGGGAGUUCCCGUCGUGGCUCAGCAGUAAUGAACCUGGCUAGUAUCCAUGAGGGUUCAGGUUCGAUCCCUAGCCUCGCUCAGUGGGUUAAGGAUCCAGUGUCACUGUGGCUGUGGUGUAGGCCAGCUGCUGCAGGUGCAAUUCAAACCUAGCCUGAGAACUUCCAUUUGCUACAGGUGUGACCAUAAAAAGAUGAAAAUAAGCAAAUAAAUAAAACAAAUAAAAAUUAUUCUCAUUAUGUCUUCUAAACUUUUAAUCUAGCUUCCUGGAGCUGAGGAUAAUGAGGCGAUGUUCUUCCAUUUCCUCAUAUUUUGUCUUCCUGGGACAGAGUAUGAAUUUUAUUUUUUGCCAUUGCUCCCCAAUUGCUGGGUGAUCUGAGUUAAGGCUGUUCAUCUCACUUUGGGUCCGAAAAAAUAAGGCGGACAAAACUCAUCUGUAUCUGAAGUGUCAGGUCCCCCCCUUCCCCCCAAAUAGCAAAUUUCAACAUUUCCCCUGCAGAUAAGUCUGAGGUGAGGCAACUUGAUCAUCUCUUUCUCAGGGAGGCAGGAAAUGUAAAGACAAUAACAGAAAGAGGUAAACAGAUGAAAUGAAAUAGUGUAUUACAUCUUUUUUUUUUCAACAAUUUUUUUUUUUUUUCCAGAGGUUUGAUUUGAGAAUUAGGUGAAGGUGCAAGUCAGGGCCUUUGAUAGGAACCGAAGAGAGAGAAAGAACCAGCAUGUGGUGAGCAUCUUUUGAUGAGAGA
rnacentral:lncRNA from 1 species